AAUCUUGCGCAAUGGGCGAAAGCCUGACGCAGCGACACCGCGUGGGGGAUGAAGGCCUUCGGGUUGUAAACCCCUUUCAUGAGGGAAGAACACUGACCUAACCUCAGGAAGAAGCACCGGCUAACUCCGUGCCAGCAGCUGCGGUAAUACGGAGAGUGCAAACGUUGUUCGGAUUCACUGGGCGUAAAGGGCACGUAGGCGGCUCGGCAAAUCAGUCGUGGAAUCCCGUCGCUUACCGGCGGAACGGCGGCUGAAAAUACCGGGCUAGAGGGCGUGAGGGGUCACUGGAACUCCUGGUGAAGCGGUGAAAUGCGUAGAUAUCAGGAGGAACGCCGGAGGCGAAAGCGAGUGACUGGCGCGUUCCUGACGCUGAGGUGCGAAAGCUAGGGGAGCAAACAGGAUUAGAUACCCUGGUAGUCCUAGCCGUAAACGAUGGACACUGAGUGAAGGAGGGCUUGCCCUUCUUUGCUGCAGCUAACGCGUUAAGUGUCCCGCCUGGGGAGUACGGCCGCAAGGUUAAAACUCAAAGGAAUUGACGGGGGCUCGCACAAGCGGUGGAGCAUGUGGUUCAAUUCGAUGCAACGCGAAGAACCUUACCCGGGCUUGAAGUGGAGGUGGUAGAAACCGGAAACGGUAACGACCCCGCAAGGGGAGCCUUCAUCAGGUGUUGCAUGGCUGUCGUCAGCUCGUGUCGUGAGAUGUUGGGUUAAGUCCCGUAACGAGCGAAACCCUUGCGGCUAGUUGCUACCCGAAAGGGGCACUCUAGUCGGACUGCCCGUGUCGAAUGNNNNNNNNNNAUGUCCGGGGCAACACACGUGCUACAAUGGUCGGUAUAAAGGGUUGCCAACCCGCGAGGGGGAGCCAAUCUCAAAAAGCCGACCUCAGUUCGGAUCGGAGGCUGCAAUUCGCCUCCGUGAAGCCGGAAUCGCUAGUAAUCGCGGAUCAGCCACGCCGCGGUGAAUAUGUUCCCGAGCCUUGUACACACCGCCCGUCAAGCCACCCAAGCACGGGGUACCUAAAGUCCGUUGCCCAACCGCAAGGAGGACGCGGCCCAGGGUAAAACGUGUGAGGAGGGCUAAGUCGUAACAAGGUAGCCGUAGGGGAAUCUGCGGCUG
rnacentral:rRNA from 1 species